GAUGAAGAACGCAGCAAAAUGCGAUACGUAAUGUGAAUUGCAGAAUUCAGUGAAUCAUCGAAUCUUUGAACGCACAUUGCGCCCCUUGGUAUUCCAUGGGGCAUGCCUGUUCGAGCGUCAUUUGUACCUUCAAGCUCUGCUUGGUGUUGGGUGUUUGUCUCGCCUCUGCGUGUAGACUCGCCUUAAAACAAUUGGCAGCCGGCGUAUUGAUUUCGGAGCGCAGUACAUCUCGCGCUUUGCACUCAUAACGACGACGUCCAAAAGUACAUUUUUACACUCUUGACCUCGGAUCAGGUAGGGAUACCCGCUGAACUUAAGCAUAUCAAUAAGCGGAGGA
rnacentral:misc_RNA from 1 species